rnacentral:tmRNA from 1 species
GGGGAUGACCGGUUUAGACAGCGGGUAGAAGUGGUUUGUAAGCAUGUAGUGCGUGGUCGGCUUGCACUUAAAUCUCAGACGGCGAACAAUUAACUGGCGAAAACAAUUACGCUCUCGCUGCUUAAUCGAAGUACAGUAGAUUCAAGCUUAAUCCCUGCAAAAGUUGCGGGGACGUGACAUCACCCGGAUGCUGUGGCUCCGAAGCGUUCCGAUCAGGUGGUGCAGCAAUAUCG